GAUCUCAAAUCAGGCAGGACUACCCGCUGAACUUAAGCAUAUCAAUAAGCGGAGGAAAAGAAACUAACAAGGAUUCCCCUAGUAACUGCGAGUGAAGCGGGAAGAGCUCAAAUUUUAAAUCUGGCGUGCCUCUGGUCGUCCGAGUUGUAGUCUGGAGAAGCGUUUUCCGUGUUGGACCGUGUACAAGUCCCUUGGAACAGGGCGUCAUAGAGGGUGAGAAUCCCGUCUUUGACACGGACUACCAAUGCUUUGUGAUGCGCUCUCAAAGAGUCGAGUUGUUUGGGAAUGCAGCUCAAAAUGGGUGGUAAAUUCCAUCUAAAGCUAAAUACAGGCGAGAGACCGAUAGCGAACAAGUACCGUGAGGGAAAGAUGAAAAGCACUUUGGAAAGAGAGUUAAACAGUACGUG
rnacentral:rRNA from 1 species